AGUGAACGCUGGCGGUAGGCCUAACACAUGCAAGUCGAACGGCAGCACAGUAAGCGCUUGCUCUUACGGGUGGCGACUGGCGGACGGGUGAGGAAUACAUCGGAAUCUACUUUUUCGUGGGGGAUAACGUAGGGAAACUUCCGCUACUACCGCAUACGACCUACGGGUGAAAGCAGGGGUUCUUCGGACCUUGCGCGAUUGAAUGAGCCGAUGUCGGAUUAGCUAGUUGGCGGGGUAAGGGCCCACCAAGCCGACGAUCCGUAGCUGGUCUGCGAGGAUGGUCGGCCGCACUGGAACGGGAACACGGUCCAGACUCCUACGGGAGGCACCAGUGGGGAAUAUUGGACAAUGGGCGCAAGCCUGCUCCAGCCAUACCGCGUGGGUGAAGAAGGCCUUCGGGUUGUAAAGCCCUUUUGUUGGGAAAGAAAAGCAGCAGGUUAAUACCCCGCUGUUCUGACGGUAACCAAAGAAUAAGCACCGGCUAACUUCGUG
rnacentral:rRNA from 1 species